UGGUGGAGUGAUUUGUCUGGUUAAUUCCGUUAACGAACGAGACCUUAACCUGCUAAAUAUGCCGCGCUAACUCGUCCAUCAAACUUAUGUGUGACUCACGCGGUUCGCUGCACACUAGUGUUGCCCGUUAAACGGUGAUGUUAGGGUGCCGGCAGGGCCCGGGUUCAUAUAGGCGGUAGAGUUCGGCGUCUGUGCUUCUUAGAGGGACUGCUGCGCGCCUAGCCAGCGGAAGUUUGAGGCAAUAACA
rnacentral:rRNA from 1 species